rnacentral:rRNA from 1 species
UAAGACGAACCGUGCGAACGUUAUUCGGAAUCACUGGGCUUAAAGCGCGUGUAGGCGGGCCGCCACGUCGGCUGCUGAAAUCCCCCGGCUCAACCGGGGAACGGGCACCGAUACGAGCGGCCUGGAGGGGGGUAGGGGGAGCUGGAACUUCCGGUGGAGCGGUGAAAUGCGUUGAGAUCGGAAGGAACGCCCGCGGCGAAAGCGAGCUCCUGGACCCUUACUGACGCUGAGACGCGAAAGCCAGGGGAGCGAACGGGAUUAGAUACCCCGGUAGUCCUGGCCGUAAACGAUGGGCACUGGGUAGGGGGCUCGCCGAUGGGCUCCCUGCCGCAGGGAAACCGUGAAGUGCCCCGCCUGGGGAGUAUGGUCGCAAGGCUG